GACAGAGGGUGCAAACGUUGUUCGGAAUUACUGGGCGUAAAGCGCGUGUAGGCGGCCCUGCAAGUCCGGCGUGAAAUCCCACGGCUCAACCGUGGAAGUGCACUCGAAACUGCAGGGCUAGAGUCCUGGAGAGGAAGGUGGAAUGCUUGGUGUAGAGGUGAAAUUCGUAGAUAUCAAGCGGAACACCGGUGGCGAAGGCGGCCUUCUGGACAGUGACUGACGCUGAGACGCGAAAGCGUGGGGAGCAAACAGG
rnacentral:rRNA from 1 species